rnacentral:tmRNA from 1 species
GGGCUUUUCAUUUGCCGGCCGCGCACCUAUAUUCGCCCUGUCAGCUUGACUGACUAUGGCGAUAAACUGCCGAUGCAAUAAGCCUAUCGGACCCGGGGGCGGUACCCGGCGCCUCCACCACAAACCGCGCUGCGACGCGGCUUCUGAUGGGGGCGAAAUAGGAUCGACGAGGGUGUAAAGAUCGGACUUUCGCUCGGCAUGGUUCCGCCGUUAUCGGGCCGAACUUAUAGUUGCCAACGACAACUAUGCGGAAGCACGUCUCGCUGCUUAAUGCGGCGCGACAGCUUCAAUUGAACUCCUAGGGGUUCGCACCUCUAGGCGGGGUUCGGAGGCACCUGGCAACAGAAGCCUCCACU